AUUGAACGCUGGCGGCAGGCCUAACACAUGCAAGUCGAACGAGUGGCGGACGGGUGAGUAAUGUCUGGGAAACUGCCCGAUGGAGGGGGAUAACUACUGGAAACGGUAGCUAAUACGGCAUACCAUCGGAUGUGCCCAGAUGGGAUUGGCUUGUAGGUGAGGUAACGGCUCACCUAGGAGACGAUCCCUAGCUGGUCUGAGAGGAUGACCAGCCACACUGGAACUGAGACACGGUCCAGACUCCUAUGGGAGGCAGCAGUGGGGAAUAUUGGACAAUGGGCGAAAGCCUGAUGCAGCCACGCCGCGUGUAUGAAGAAGGCCUUCGGAUUGUAAAUUACUUUCGGCGGGGAGGCGUUACCCACAGAAGAAGCACCGGCUAACUCCGUGCCAGCAGCCGCGGUAAUUC
rnacentral:rRNA from 1 species